CCAGGGCCGGAUGAACUGCGGCAGCAUCGGGGCCACCUCCUGCGGGCACACGAAGCCCAGGCGGCCGAUGGUGAUGGCUGCGGGCACGGCGGGGCUCGGUCACUUCUCUCCCUUUGCAUCCUGGCUUUCUACACCUCUGGUCCUACUUAUCUACAUCACUUCUUACAUAUUUGUUUUUAUUUACUUUCUGUAUUCUAAGUCUUUAUUUAUGGCUUUGUUUACUUUCUGUGUGCUUCUAUUUUUAUAGAUUUAUGUUUAGAAUGGGUUUUAUUUACUUUCUGUAUCUUAAAUCUUUAUAUAUUUAUGGUUUUCUUUAUUUUCUGUGUUUAUAUAUUUAGUUUCUGUACAUUUGCAUCCUUAUAUAUUUAUUUACCUUCUGUAUGUUUAUAUUUUAAAUAUUUACUGUUUUGUUUACUUUCUGUACAUUACUAUCUUUAUAUGUUUAUUUACCUUCUGUAUGUUUAUAUUUUGCUGUAUUUAUGGUUUAUUUACUUUCUGCUCAUUUGUAUAUUCACAUAUUUAUCUUUGGAACAGUUUUAUUUAUUUUCUGUAGUUUAUAUCUUUGCAGAUUUAUCUUUGGAGCAGGUUAUUUCAUUGUAUUUUUGUCUUUGUGUGUUUGGAACAUUAACAUUUUAAAUCGUGUCUCUGUA